rnacentral:snRNA from 1 species
AUCGCUUCCUGGCCUUUUGGCUCAGAUCAAGUGUAGUAUUUGUUCUUAUCAGUUGGUGAAAGGUUGCCACCCCCACUAAUGGAGUGGAGAAACACUUGAUCCUCUGGCCAAAAAGCCAGGCUGGGACUAUACACUGACACUUUUCAUGAUUUUUUAUUUAUGUAUUUUUUUCACCUCUU